GCCGCUGAUCUACAAAUUGAUAAUCAGGACUUUGGAUCUGAUGAUGAUGAUGAUGAUUUUGAUAUCAGUGAUGUAGAACCUAACGACAUUGAUGAUAUGAUCCGAGAUAUUGAUGACAACUGAAAACUAUUACCGACUUAUAUGAAAAUACUACAUUGGUGUGCCUCUGAAGUCUUGUUUAUUUUAUUAGCUCUUAUAAAUUUGUACAAUCAUCAUAAUUCAAGUGAUUUUGAUGGAGUUAACAAGUGUAUUCUUCAAUUGAUCAAAAAGCAUCAUUCGAUGAUGUCUUUAACAAUAAAU